rnacentral:sRNA from 1 species
AAAACCUGAUGAAGAAAAGAAAGAUCUUAGUAACAAAGCUAUUCCAUCACAUUGUGAUUAUCAACAGAACUUGGGGAAUGAGCCAGACAAAUAUCCCUGUAAUGGACAAGUAAUACCUACAUUUUGUGACACUUCAUUUACUUCUUUCAGGCCUGAAUGGCAGUCAGUACAUCCUUUUAUAGUGCCCUAUGGUCCCCCUCUUCCUAGUUUGAACUAUCAUUUAAACAUUCAAAGAUUCAGUGGUCCACCAAAUCCACCAUCAAAUAUUUUCCAAGCCCAAGAUGACUCUCAGAUACAAAAUGGAUAUUAUGUAAAUAAUUGUCAUGUUAACUGGAAUUACAUGACUUUUGAUCAGAACAAUGAAUAUACUGACUGUAGUGAGAAUAGGAGUAGUGUUCAUCCCUCUGGAAAUGGCUGCAGUAUGCAAGAUCGAUAUGUGAGUAAUGGUUUCUGUGAAGUCAGAGAAAGAUGCUGGAAAGAUCAUUGUAUGGACAAGCAUAAUGGAACAGACAGGUUUGUGAACCAGCAGUUUCAAGAGGAAAAGUUAAAUAAAUUGCAGAAGUUACUUAUUCUUUUAAGAGGUCUGCCUGGUUCUGGGAAAACAACAUUGUCUCGAAUUCUGCUUGGUCAGAAUCGUGAUGGCAUUGUGUUCAGCACUGAUGACUAUUUUCACCAUCAAGAUGGGUACAGGUAUAAUGUUAAUCAACUUGGUGAUGCCCAUGACUGGAACCAGAACAGAGGUUUGUUUGGGGCUAAGUGUCCCGGGAUAGAAUAUUUGGCUAGGAGUCAAAAGACCUAGAUUUUAUUCUCAACUUAGGUUUUUACCAACUGAAUGACUUUAGGCAAGCCGUUUAAAUAGCUUUGAGACCUAAUUUCUUCAUCUGUUAGAGGUGGUGAUAAUUAUACUUGCCCUACCUGAUCGGGUUUUUGUGAAAAGCAGAGAAUUUAGGUAAAACGCUUUGUAAACUGUAAAUAGUUUAUCAGUAUAAGCUGGUAAAAUAAUAGCAGCAUGGGAUAUUUUAAGAGGCUUUAUUUUAUACUUGAUGAGUAAAUUCAGAGAACUUUGAAUCUGUACCAUUGUUAUGUAGUCCCAAAGUUAUUUCCCUGAGAAUAGUGCUAAUGUUUUCCAAGGCUUAAUAUACUGGUUGUGAAUAUUAAAAGUUUUUCUCAUUGAUAUUGCUCUACAAGAAACCUACUUAAUACAUUUUUUAGCGGACAUGGGUCAAUUUCUGUUUAUCAUUAAUAGGGGUUCUUAACCUUGGCUCCACUUCU